GAGACCCGAUGUACCCGUGUAUUACAAUGGAACAGUCGACUCUACAAUUUAACAUCAGCAAGUCAUUACACGGAUUGGUGAAGCGCUGUGUACACAUGACCUAACACACGAUGAAUGACAUAAGCUGCUGUUUUAUUGAGGAAGUAGCCAGUUCAAAGAGAAUGAAAAGGAAGUCUUUGGAGCACUGAAAAUAGUUUGCUUUUGCUUUUUGUGGAGAAAAGUGUAUGAGGAAA